CCUCGCUGUCAUUUCAGACUAAAUAUAAAUCAGUAUGGGUGUCACUAUGACCCCCAAACUGAUAAAAGGGAGGUUAAAUCCUCCCGCAUGCCCCUACUCACGGCAUGCCAGUGGCUGCUCGCUGUAAUUUAAAACAACUAGUGACUGAGCAGCUAUUGCUGCCCAGUCGCUAGUGCAAUAAGGGUGGACCUAGCACAGGUCUCCCCGUUCCCUCAUGGUGGG